GUUUGAUCCUGGCUCAGAACGAACGCUGGCGGCAUGCUUAACACAUGCAAGUUGCACGAGAAAGCUCUUCGGAGUGAGUAGAGUGGCGCACGGGUGAGUAAUGCAUGGGAACGUACCCUCAGGUUGGGAAUAACCACGGGAAACUGUGGCUAAUACCGAAUAGGCUCAUAAGAGCGCAAGAGUAAAGGUGGCGCAAGCUACCGCCGGAGGAUCGGCCCAUGUCCCAUUAGCUUGUUGGUAGGGUAAUGGCCUACCAAGGCUACGAUGGGUAGCUGGUCUGAGAGGAUGAUCAGCCACACUGGGACUGAGACACGGCCCAGACUCCUACGGGAGGCAGCAGUGGGGAAUAUUGCACAAUGGACGAAAGUCUGAUGCAGCAAUGCCGCGUGAGUGAAGAAGGCUCUUGGGUCGUAAAGCUCUUUCGAUUGGGAAGAAGGGUCUAGUUGCUAAUACGCGUGAGAUUUGACGGUACUAGAAGAAGAAGCACUGGCUAAUUCCGUGCCAGCAGCCGCGGUAAUACGGAAGGUGCAAGCAUUGUUCGGAUUGACUGGGCGUAAAGAGCACGUAGGCGGAUCAUCAAGUCGAAUGUGAAAUCCCUGGGCUUAACCCAGGAACUGCAUUCGAAACUGGAGAUCUUGAAUACCUGAGGGGUUAGUGGAAUUCCAGGUGUAGGAGUGAAAUCCGUAGAUAUCUGGAGGAACACCAGAGGCGAAGGCGGCUAACUGGCAGUAUAUUGACGCUGAGGUGCGAAAGCGUGGGUAGCAAACAGGAUUAGAUACCCUGGUAGUCCACGCCGUAAACGAUGGAUACUAGGCGUUUGGGGAAUUAACCCCCUGAGUGCUGGAGCUAACGUAUUAAGUAUCCCGCCUGGGGAGUACGGUCGCAAGGCUAAAACUCAAAGGAAUUGACGGGGGCCCGCACAAGCGGUGGAGUAUGUGGUUUAAUUCGAAGCAACGCGCAGAACCUUACCUACCCUUAACAUCCUGGGACGAUUGCAGAGAUGUAAUUUCCUCUUCGGAGGCUCAGUGAUAGGUGCUGCAUGGCUGUCGUCAGCUCGUGUCGUAAGAUGUCUGGUUAAGUCCAAUAACGAGCGCAACCCUUAUCUUCAGUUACCAUCAUUAAGUUGGGGACUCUGGAGAGACUGCCGGUGUUAAACCGGAGGAAGGCGGGGAUGACGUCAAGUCCUCAUGGCCCUUACGGGUAGGGCUACACACGUACUACAAUGGCAGUGACAAUGGGUU
rnacentral:rRNA from 1 species